GGAGGUAUAGCUCAGUGGUAGAGUGUGAGCCUAGCAUGCAUGAGGUCCCUGGGUUCAAUCUCCAGUACCUCUC
rnacentral:tRNA from 1 species